rnacentral:lncRNA from 1 species
CUCAAUACCCCGUCCGGUAUGAGGGUGAAACGGGCCGUCCCCAUACCCCGUCCGGUAUGGGCGCCAAAACCAUAAGAUCUCCAUACCCCGUCCGGUAUGUGAGACCACAAUCCCGGUAGGGUUCCCUACGGACCCGGUCCGUCCACCAUCUCCCAGGAUAUCUAGUCAGGCUGACCCCCAUAAUACAAUUAUCAGUCUACACAAUCUUUCAUUUUCCUUUUCCUCAGUCAGCAUCAUCAAUUCACAUACAAACAAGCAAAACAGUAAUUCAUGCCAAACAGACAACAUACAGUAUCAGUUUUUCAGUCAUUCAGCCCAUGAUUAAUAAAAACGUAGUAUAUGCACACAAAUCUGUAAAAUGAACACAUCAAACCUCAUUUUGCAUUUAAAGCUGUAAACAGGCCAAAUAACAGUAAAUCACCAAUCACACUAGACUCGGGCUCCAUUAGCCACCUUAAGCAAUUUCACACAUUCGUUAAUUCAAAAAAUACCGUUUUAUCAU